rnacentral:rRNA from 1 species
CUCAACCGGGAGGCGCCCGCCGAAACUGCCUGGCUUGAGGGCCGGAGGGGCGAGUGGAAUUACCGGUGUAGCGGUGAAAUGCGUAGAUCUCGGUAGGAACACCGGAGGCGAAGGCGGCUCGCUGGACGGCACCUGACGCUGAGGGACGAAAGCUGGGGGAGCAAACAGGAUUAGAUACCCUGGUAGUCCACGCUGUAAACGAUGUGUGCUAGUUGUGGGUCCCUGUGGGAUCCGUGACGCAGUUAACGCAGUAAGCACACCACCUGGGGAGUACGUUCGCAAGAAUGAAACUCAAAGGAAUUGACGGGGGCCCGCACAAGCGGUGGAGCAUGUGGCUUAAUUCGAUGCAACGCGAAGAACCUUACCUGGGCUAAAUCCGCCUUGACCGUCCCUGAAAGGGGACUUCCCUUCGGGGCAG